rnacentral:tRNA from 1 species
GCACCCGUAGCUCAGCUGGAUAGAGUACCUGGCUACGAACCAGGUGGUCGGAGGUUCGAAUCCUUCCGGGCGCGCCA